rnacentral:tRNA from 10 species
GCGUCCAUCGUCUAAUGGAUAGGACAGA